rnacentral:misc_RNA from 1 species
AAAAGACAUGCUCUUUUUGUCAACUGAUUUUUACAUAUAUAUUUUUUUUCACUUUAGACAAGUUUUGAUGUUUACAAAGUUAAAAAACUGAUGAAAAGGAUAUACUAAAACUAUGAACAAGGCUAGAUACAAAAGUGCCACGUCUACCUUGCUCUAUGCAAAAGAUAAACAAGAACUAAAGACUCUUGAAACUUUCUCAAUUGCUGCUUUUGAAAGAUUAAAAGCUGCAGAUCAAGAACUAACAUACACCCAAACUACAAACCAAGAACUUCUGCUUAAGCUGAACUACAUUUAGCGGGGCUGCUGGAUGCGGCGAAGGCUGUUCUUUGGGCUAACAAUCUUUGCUGGUUUCUCGUACAACUUUGGAGGUUCGAUAAGAGAUUUUGGCUUUGGCAUGCUCAGUGUCCUUACAAGUGCCUCAGAACCCUUGGGUAAGCCAUUGACACCAGAGAGUGAUGAUUUGAUGCCUUGUUGCUCACUUUCAGAUGAUUGAAGAAAUUCUUCAAACUGAGCUUCCAUAUUCAAAAUAUCCUCAUCGACAUCAAGGUCAAUGUUUUCAGGAAGUAAGUCAGCAACAUCAUUUCCAGCAAAACCAAAAUCAUCAUCACCAUAUUCCUCUCCUUGAUGCUGGCUAGUCCAGUAGUCGCGGAACCAUGUUGCAGUUGUUACCAAAUUCCACCAUUCAGGUGAAAAGUCCUCCACUUGUUGCACAUAAGAUGGGAUGAAGAGAGGUGCAUUCGGAUUCAGUGUUGACGACCUUCCUCCAGAAACUAACGCCAUUCUUCUUUCUCCAAAUUGCUAUCUGAAGGAAAAGAAUGAAUCCAACAUAUUAGUGCAUAAAUACAGCAAAGAGUCAAGAUAUGAUCACAUAAUCUAGGAAGCUGCAACUCAAACACUCAACUAAUAUCUAGAACAUAGAAAACUAGAAAUUUCAGCAAAACUACUUUAACAAACCCCCCUUGAGGAAUGAUUCUACGAUGAUAACCAAAACCAUGGAACCGAUUACAAACAUAUAUUCUCUAAUUAACGAAUAAAAUCUAUCAAAC